AGCCCCGUGGUGUAGUGGCCAAGCAUGCGGGACUUUGGAUCCCGCGACCCGGGUUCGAAUCCCGGCGGGGCUA
rnacentral:tRNA from 1 species